rnacentral:rRNA from 1 species
UACGAAGGGGGCUAGCGUUGUUCGGAAUUACUGGGCGUAAAGGGCUCGUAGGUGGCCAACUAAGUCAGACGUGAAAUCCCUCGGCUUAACCGGGGAACUGCGUCUGAUACUGGAUGGCUUGAGUUUGGGAGAGGGACGCGGAAUUCCGGGUGUAGCGGUGGAAUGCGUAGAGAUCCGGAAGAACACCGGUGGCGAAGGCGGCCCGCUGGGCAGGAAGACGGGCGCAAGCCCGUCGGCUGACACUGAGGCGCGACAGCGUGGGGAGCAAACAGG